rnacentral:rRNA from 1 species
UGGGGAAUAUUGGACAAUGGGCGAAAGCCUGAUCCAGCAAUGCCGCGUGAGUGAUGAAGGCCUUAGGGUUGUAAAGCUCUUUUACCAGGGAUGAUAAUGACAGUACCGGGAGCAUAAGCUCCGGCUAACUUCGUGCCAGCAGCCGCGGUUAUACGAGGGGAGCUAGCGUUGUUCGGAAUUACUGGGCGUAAAGCGCGCGUAGGCGGUUUUUUAAGUCAGAGGUGAAGGCCCGGGGCUCAACCCCGGAAUAGCCUUUGAAACUGGAAAACUAGAAUUGUGGAGAGGUCAGUGGAAUUCCGAGUGUAGAGGUGAAAUUCGUAGAUAUUCGGAAGAACACCAGUGGCGAAGGCGACUGACUGGACAAGUAUUGACGCUGAGGUGCGAAAGCGUGGGGAGCAAACA